UGUAUGUGAAAAUAAUUAACAUCUAGAAUCUAUUAAAAUGUGACAAAUCAAGAAAAAGACAACCUAGUAGAAAAACUGGCAAAGAGAUAUGAAUAGGUAAUUCUUGGAGAAGAAAUACAAAUAGACAACAUAUGAAAAGACAUUUAACUUCACUAGUAAAGAGGGAAAUGUAAAUUAAAGUGCAAGCAUUUUUUUGUGCAGCCAAUAAAAUGUCAGUAACAAAAUCCAGACAUGGAAAUGGGCACUUUCAUAUACUAUUGGUGGAAAUUUUCUAAGUGUUUUCAGAAGGCAAUUUGGCAUUAACUAAAAAAUAUACAUAACAUCUGAGCCAGUAACUCCAUUUCUAGGAAGCUGUCUUUUUGACAUAUCGGCUUUAGUGUGCAAAGACACACUGUGCAGCAUUAUCUGUAGUAGCACAUAUUUAAAAGCUUUCUAAUAUGUUCAAUAGUGGUUAAAUAAAGUAGAUAUCAUGCAUUUUACAGAAUAUGCAGCCAUUAAAAAUACAAGGUACUUGAAUAUAUGAACGUAAAAGAUUAUCACCACGUUAAAUGGAAAAAAAAAACUCAGAAAAAUAUCUACCUUGUGAUAAUGCUCACAAAGAACAAAAAGGAUGUAUUUGGGUGUACUACGUGCAAAGCCAUUGUGAGGGAAAUGAAAAUAUGUCACCAACUUAAUAAUUCUUAAGGGCUGAAUCAAAGUUAGACAUUGUCAUGGAAAUGAGCCUAAGUCUACCUUGAAGUGUGUUCUGUGGUUUGCAGUUAUGGAGCGUGGGGAAGCCCAAAUAUCUGUAAUACAAGGCUGAAUGGCUUUAGUUGUAUAAGUGGUACAAAAUAUUAUUAAGUACAAAGGUAGGAAAAAAAUCACAUAUGUUUGGGAAGGGCUUAAUCAACAUAACAUUUCAAGGAUGGGAGAUAGCACAGGAAAAUAUGGGACAUAUUAAGGGAACAAAAUUGUUUGGUUAGAACACAAUUGGUAGUAGGAAUUGAAAUGGGAAAGCCCAGGUAUGGAAGUCUUUCCUAAAAUUAGAAGGGAAUAGGGACCACCAGCUUUAGGAAAAUUAAGCUGGCGGAAGUAUAAUGGGUGGAGGAUAGACCAAUAUCUCACCUUCCGGGAGAGGACACUUCCAGCUCUUGCUUCUUUAAACCUAUUAACUUAGUUUUCUUUAGCUAGACUCCCAAACAUCAGCUUUUACAAUUCAGCCUAUGGUUCAAUCACUAUGGCAAGAUAAACAUUUGUUUAGGUGUGAAACACCACUGGCUAUCUUUGGGUUUUGUAAUCUACCCUCUUGAGGUUGCAGGAGCUACCGUGAAACCUUACUGCAUCCAUGGUCAUGAUGGAAAUGGUGACUAUAAGGUGAGCCCUGAAUAAAGCCCUCAUCUGAAGCUCCCCUGAAUGCAGGGACCCAGGCUCUGCAGAGCCUCACAGAAAGCUGGCUACCUUGGAUGCAAAACUGUAAAGGUUACGUGUUUACAAUGAGUCUUAAAAGAAGCAUGACCUGGCCAGGUGCGUGGCUCAUGCUUGUAAUCCCAGCACUUUGGGAGGCCAAGGCAGGUGGAUCACAAGG
rnacentral:lncRNA from 1 species